UCCCAGCCUCUCUUUUGGAUAAAUUCUCUUGUUAAUUGUGUGAGUUGUCUGAUAUUUGAACAUUGUUUCAAGUGUUUAUUUUGUGAAAAACGUGUGGUAUGAUGGAUUCCUUGAGCAAAUAAAAUGACCUAAUCUAAAAUUUUAAAAUAAAGAUUAGGGAUGGAUUGAAAGACAAUCACGCGAACUAAAUCCUCCUGUCUCAAGUUUACUUCAAAUAUAGGGCAAAAUUG
rnacentral:misc_RNA from 1 species